rfam:Bursaphelenchus xylophilus, Ka4C1 (inbred line), WGS project CADV01000000 data, contig: contig03236
CAAACGGCCCUCUUUAGGGCCACAAAUGUAAUUUUCUUACUUUUU